UGGGGUAUCGCCAAGCGGUAAGGCACCGGUUUUUGAUACCGGCAUUCCCUGGUUCAUGUAUCUCAUCCA
rnacentral:tRNA from 1 species